rnacentral:rRNA from 1 species
AUUGAACGCUGGCGGCAGGCCUAACACAUGCAAGUCGAACGAGUGGCGGACGGGUGAGUAAUGACUGGGAAACUGCCUGAUGGAGGGGGAUAACUACUGGAAACGGUAGCUAAUACUGCCUACCAUCGUAUGUGCCCAGAUGGGCGUAGCUAGUAGGUGGGGUAAAGGCUCACCUAGUCGACGAUCCCUAGCUGGUCUGAGAGGAUGACCAGCAACACUGGAACGUAGACACGGUCCAGCCACCUACGGGAGGCAGCAGUGGGGAAUAUUGCACGAUGGGCGUAAGCCCGAUGCAGCCAUGACGAGUGUAUGACGAAGGCCUACGGGUUGUAAAGUACUUUCAUCGGGGAGGCGUGACCCGCAGUAGAAGCACCGGAUAACUCCGUGCCGGCCGCCGCGGUAAUUC